rnacentral:rRNA from 1 species
GAUGAACGCUGGCGGCGUGCCUAAUACAUGCAAGUCGAGCGAACAGACGAGGAGCUUGCUCCUCUGACGUUAGCGGCGGACGGGUGAGUAACACGUGGAUAACCUACCUAUAAGACUGGGAUAACUUCGGGAAACCGGAGCUAAUACCGGAUAAUAUAUUGAACCGCAUGGUUCAAUAGUGAAAGACGGUUUUGCUGUCACUUAUAGAUGGAUCCGCGCCGCAUUAGCUAGUUGGUAAGGUAACGGCUUACCAAGGCAACGAUGCGUAGCCGACCUGAGAGGGUGAUCGGCCACACUGGAACUGAGACACGGUCCAGACUCCUACGGGAGGCAGCAGUAGGGAAUCUUCCGCACUGGGCGAAAGCCUGACGGAGCAACGCCGCGUGAGUGAUGAAGGUCUUCGGAUCGUAAAACUCUGUUAUUAGGGAAGAACAAAUGUGUAAGUAACUAUGCACGUCUUGACGGUACCUAAGCAGAAAGCCACGGCUAACUACGU